rnacentral:piRNA from 1 species
CAACAGUUGGAGCCUGGGGCAGGC